rnacentral:rRNA from 1 species
GUUGUCGCUGGCCCCACACGGGCAUGUGCACACCUUGCUCAUUCCAAUUCUUACACCUCUGUGCACUUUUCAUAGGUUGGUUGUGGCUGUCUUCGGAUGGCUUGACCUGCCUAUGCUUUUACAAACGCUUCAGUUAUAGAAUGUAUCUCGCGUAUAACGCAUUAUAUACAACUUUCAGCAACGGAUCUCUUGGCUCUCGCAUCGAUGAAGAACGCAGCGAAAUGCGAUAAGUAAUGUGAAUUGCAGAAUUCAGUGAAUCAUCGAAUCUUUGAACGCACCUUGCGCCCUUUGGUAUUCCGAAGGGCAUGCCUGUUUGAGUGUCAUGGUAUUCUCAAUACCCCAAAUCUUUGCGGAUGAGGGUGUGUUGGACUUGGAGGUUUAUGCCGGCAGUCUGUCGGCUCCUCUUAAAUGCAUUAGCAAAGAUGUUACUGCUACUCUUCGGCGUGAUAAUUGUCUACGCUGCUGUGGUACGGUAUAUUGAAGUCUCUGCUUCUAAUCGUCUUCAGACAAUUUCUUUGACAUCUGACCUCAAAUCAG